rnacentral:rRNA from 1 species
UUUAUUGAAGCUUCGGCAGAUUUAGCUGGUUUCUAGUGGCGGACGGGUGAGUAACGCGUGGGUAACCUGCCUUAUACAGGGGGAUAACAACCAGAAAUGGUUGCUAAUACCGCAUAAGCGCACAGGACCGCAUGGUCCGGUGUGAAAAACUCCGGUGGUAUAAGAUGGACCCGCGUUGGAUUAGCUAGUUGGCAGGGUAACGGCCUACCAAGGCGACGAUCCAUAGCCGGCCUGAGAGGGUGAACGGCCACAUUGGGACUGAGACACGGCCCAGACUCCUACGGGAGGCAGCAGUGGGGAAUAUUGCACAAUGGGGGAAACCCUGAUGCAGCGACGCCGCGUGAAGGAAGAAGUAUCUCGGUAUGUAAACUUCUAUCAGCAGGGAAGAUAGUGACGGUACCUGACUAAGAAGCCCCGGCUAACUACGUGCCAGCAGCCGCGGUAAUACGUAGGGGGCAAGCGUUAUCCGGAUUUACUGGGUGUAAAGGGAGCGUAGACGGACUGGCAAGUCUGAUGUGAAAGGCGGGGGCUCAACCCCUGGACUGCAUUGGAAACUGUUAGUCUUGAGUGCCGGAGAGGUAAGCGGAAUUCCUAGUGUAGCGGUGAAAUGCGUAGAUAUUAGGAGGAACACCAGUGGCGAAGGCGGCUUACUGGACGGUAACUGACGUU